rnacentral:rRNA from 1 species
GACGAACGCUGGCGGCGUGCUUAACACAUGCAAGUCGAACGGAAAGGCCCUGCUUUUGUGGGGUGCUCGAGUGGCGAACGGGUGAGUAACACGUGAGUAACCUGCCCUUGACUUUGGGAUAACUUCAGGAAACUGGGGCUAAUACCGGAUAGGAGCUCCUGCUGCAUGGUGGGGGUUGGAAAGUUUCGGCGGUUGGGGAUGGACUCGCGGCUUAUCAGCUUGUUGGUGGGGUAGUGGCUUACCAAGGCUUUGACGGGUAGCCGGCCUGAGAGGGUGACCGGCCACAUUGGGACUGAGAUACGGCCCAGACUCCUACGGGAGGCAGCAGUGGGGAAUAUGCACAAUGGGCGGAAGCCUGAUGCAGCAACGCCGCGUGCGGGAUGACGGCCUUCGGGUUGUAAACCGCUUUCGCCUGUGACGAAGCGUGAGUGACGGUAAUGGGUAAAGAAGCACCGGCUAACUACGUG